GGAGAAGGGGACGACAGAGGAUGAGAUGGCUGGAUGGCAUCACUGACUCAAUGGACCUCAGGACAGGCUGGCCCUGCCUCAGAAAAACUGCAAGCCCGCCCAGCCGGGUGGGGAUGGAGGAGGGAGAAGGGACAGCUCCAGCUGCGGCUACACAGAGCCCGGAAUCCAGAAAUUUCCUGACCCAUCCUAUUAUGUCUGGGUCAAAGUGCCAAAGAAGACACUUUAGGAGGUUCCACUGUUCCUGUUGUUUCUGAAGGCUGGGUCUGCAUCUAGGUGGGCGUCAUCUUCUGGUAAUAACUUUAUUAAAGAACUCCUGAUCUAUAUACCCCCCUAAGAAUAAUCAGCUCUAUAUAUUCCCUAACAAUAACAAGUACAUUUUCUUGUACCAUGCUGUCACAACAAAACCUACUCUAUUCCUGAAAAGUAGCUGCAAGUAGAAGGCCAUGGUCGGGGAACACAGAGCAGAAAAUAAGAGAACUGUAGAUGGAAGAUGCCUGAGGGACCCACAGGAAUCUGAAAGAACCGAGAGAAACGGACCAGAGGUGCCCAAAUGACUCAUCCAGGGCCUCUGAUAGAGGAAGUGGAAUUUUCAAAGUCUGCCCACUGCUCUCUUACGCUUCGAAUCCCCAGGAAAACUUGACCUUUGCUGGCUGACUCACUGGCUUCCUCAUCGGUUUCUCAUCAUCAGUCAAGAUUUUUACAUAGCCUGUGACAUUUAGAAAGCCUUCCUCCUGACACGCACCCCUCCCCGUUUAGAAUGUGGUCCUGGGCAGACUCAUAAUUGCUCUUUGAAACGUUUAAACUGAGCUCAUGAUUUAGAAUGCGUGGACAGAAUACCGUCUUUCAAGAGCCAGGAGCUAUGGGAGUCUAGCCGCCAUGGGAUCAUGGGGAAGAGGAGAAAACGAAGGAAGGACCUGGGGCCAAAUAGCCACCGGUGGGAGUCACAGUGGUGGGGAGGGCUGGCCUCGCUUUGUCACACCGUUGGCCCACAUCACAGGUCAGGGCCGGAAGGGAAGUGCCAGUUGCAAAUGCUCCCACCUCAUCUCACAGCUCACCAAAUAUUAUGGCCUAGCACAUAAAAACCAGAAUGCUAAGCUGCCAGGAGUGUUAAACUCAAGGAGCUGUGACCAGAAGCAGGCAGGCUCAGGGGACGGGAGUAGGGAGGCGGCUGUAGCGGGCCAGCGGCUCCCAUUAAGCCCCAUGGCUCUCAGGCAGCAACUGAAACCAAGCAGGAAACUCAGCCCUUGCCCGGAAAGCCAGCUCUACCUCCUACCUCUCCACGGUGAGAGCAUCAAGGGGAGUCCCAGGCCUCCCAAGCAGA